UACGAAGGGGGCUAGCGUUGUUCGGAAUUACUGGGCGUAAAGGGCUCGUAGGCGGCCAACUAAGUCAGACGUGAAAUCCCUCGGCUUAACCGAGGAACUGCGUCCGAUACUGAAAGGCUUGAAUCCGGGAGAGGGAUGUGGAAUUCCAGGUGUAGCGGUGAAAUGCGUAGAUAUCUGGAGGAACACCGGUGGCGAAGGCGGGUCUCUGGGCCGAAAUUGACGCUGAGGAGCGAAAGCGUGGGGAGCAAACAGG
rnacentral:rRNA from 1 species